UAGCCUCACAUCAUUUGUGCAUACCUUGC
rnacentral:piRNA from 1 species